AACGAACGCUGGCGGCAGGCUUAACACAUGCAAGUCGAACGCCCCGCAAGGGGAGUGGCGCACGGGUGAGUAACGCGUGGAUAUCUGCCUUUUGGUUCGGAAUAACCCCGGGAAACUGGGGCUAAUACCGGAUGGUUCCUACGGGAUAAAGAUUUAUCGCCAAAAGAUGAGUCCGCGUACGAUUAGCUAGUUGGUGAGGUAACGGCUCACCAAGGCGACGAUCGUUAGCUGGUCUGAGAGGACGAUCAGCCACACUGGGACUGAGACACGGCCCAGACUCCUACGGGAGGCAGCAGUGGGGAAUAUUGGACAAUGGGGGCAACCCUGAUCCAGCCAUGCCGCGUGAGUGAUGAAGGCCUUCGGGUUGUAAAGCUCUUUUGGCGGGGACGAUGAUGACGGUACCCGCAGAAUAAGCCCCGGCUAACUUCGUGCCAGCCGCCGCCGUAAAAC
rnacentral:rRNA from 1 species